rnacentral:misc_RNA from 1 species
AAUGGUCACUAAUUUACCAUUAGAGCAUCAAUUCCACAACAAAUUGGAAAAACCCUAAUUUUAUGCCUCAAACCCUAAUUCCCAAUUUCCCAUUAACACUACACAUGCAAUUCAAAGUUCCUAUGCAUAUAUUCUCAUUCAUGGCCACCACUACACACUUUAAUUCCAUUCAAAUUCGCCUAAUCUUACUAUCAUUCAUGGCUACUAAAAAUUUGAGAGUGCCCUAACAUGCAUAUUUCCUUGUAAUUUCUUCAAAUUCUAACUUAAUUCAAGGUCCUAAUCAAGAAUAUAAAGAGAGAGGUAAGGGAUUUGGCACUAACCUCUUUAGGUGUUUUCCCCAAACUUUUAAAACUUCUCUUUUCCUUCUUCUUUUUGCUACCUCAAGCUUUUUCAAGGUUUAAAGAUAAAUUUUAGUGAAAGGAUUUAUGGAUUUUAUGGAAAGAACUCAAGGUUUAGCAAGGUGGAUUGAAGAACAUUAAUGAAGGGAAGAGAGAGAGAGAGUUUCAGCCUAGCUGAUGGGAGGUAGAAGAUGGCUGAUUUUUCUUUGGUUUUUAUCUCUUUUUAAUCGUUUUAUAAGAGCUUGUUGCAUUUUGAUUGGUUGGGCCUUUCUUAAUUGCAUCAUGCAUAUGCAAUAAAU